UACGUAGGAGGCAAGCGUUGUCCGGAAUUACUGGGUGUAAAGCGCGUGUAGGUGGUGGGCCAAGUCUGUGGUGAAAUCGCCCGGCUCAACUGGGCGGGGUCCGUGGAAACUGGUCGACUGGAGGACGGUAGAGGCGAGUGGAAUUCCCGGUGUAGUGGUGAAAUGCGUAGAGAUCGGGAGGAACACCAGUGGCGAAGGCGGCUCGCUGGGCCGGCAUUGACGCUGAGGAGCGAAAGCCAGGGGAGCAAACGGG
rnacentral:rRNA from 1 species